CAAUAGCGUAUAUUAAAGUUGUUGCGGUUAAAAAGCUCGUAGUUGGAUUUCUGCCGAGGACGACCGGUCCGCCCUCCGGGUGAGUAUCUGGCUCGGCCUGGGCAUCUUCUUGGAGAACGUAGCUGCACUUGGCGGUGUGGUGCGGUAUUCAGGACUUUUACUUUGAGGAAAUUAGAGUGUUUCAAGCAGGCAUACGCCUUGAAUACAUUAGCAUGGAAUAAUAAGAUAGGACCUCGGUUCUAUUUUGUUGGUUUCUAGAUCUGAGGUAAUGAUUAAUAGGGAUAGUUGGGGGCAUUCGUAUUUAACUGUCGGAGGUGAAAUUCUUGGAUUUGUUAAAGACGGACUACUGCGAAAGCAUUUGCCAAGGAUGUUUUCAUUGA
rnacentral:rRNA from 1 species